rnacentral:tRNA from 1 species
UCUAAUAUGGCAGAUUAAUGCUAUAGACUUAAACCCUGUACAUAAAGAUUCCACUCUUUUUUUAGAA